CUCAUGUUUUGUGAGCCAUUGCCGCGGGCGUGAAUGGUAUUCUGGAAGGACCAAGAGUGUCCUCGCCUAAAAAAGAAAAUAAAAUAUCGAUACAGAAAACAAAUCCCGCACCAUCUCUCCUUGCUGAAGCGGAUUCUGUUUCUUCGCAUCACCGCGCCCCCCGCUGUCGCCCUAUACUCGCGGCACCACAACUCCUCUGAAGACAGAUCGGCCCUCCACCGUUGACCGCCGGCCGCGGCAAGAGCUCCCCAUUUUCUCAUCCGUGUCAGUUCGACUCCAAUCGCUCAAACUUGGGCUGCCCAGAAGUUUCCACUCAGGCGCUCACCAUCCCUGUCUACUGUUCCACAUGCUCACCGCCGCCGCUUCCUCACAUAUCCACCCAUACACGUCUUAGACUAAUCCAUCUCGGAAGCGGACGCCGGUGGAAGUGCUAGUAGCCGAAUGGCAUACCAGUGCAACCCAACCGAUAUGAACACAACCUCACACAGUGAUAGCUUACAUGUGAAGAGUGUAGAAAUCAGUAAACAUGCCAGAGCAUAUUGUGCCCACCAUGUGUUGGAGUUUAUGUCCCCAAAGUUUUUUUUCGUUUCAUUUCUGAUAUACUUCGAUGUAAGUGUUAUAGCCAUUUAAAAGGGCAUCUUCAUUGAUUUAAACAUCCGAUAUUUUUUGUAUAUAUAAAUAUGUGCAUGUUCCAUUGUACCAUGACGAAAUGUGGACUGACCAAAGCGUCAACUCUGUCUAUUCUUUUUCGAUUUUGUAUCAAGUAAUAUGCAAAAAAACGGUUUGCUACAAGAA